GAUGAACGCUGGCGGCGUGCUUAACACAUGCAAGUCGAGCGAGAAGUUUUGAAAAGAUUCUUCGGAUGAAAUUUAAAAUGGAAAGCGGCGGACGGGUGAGUAACGCGUAGGCAACCUGCCCCAUACAAAGGGAUAGCAUUUGGAAACGAAUAUUAAUACCUUAUGAAACUUAACUAGUGCAUGCUAGGUAGGUCAAAGAUUUAUCGGUAUGGGAUGGGCCUGCGUCUGAUUAGCUAGUUGGUGAGGUAACGGCUCACCAAGGCGACGAUCCGUAGCCGACCUGAGAGGGUGAACGGCCACAUUGGAACUGAGACACGGUCCAAACUCCUACGGGAGGCAGCAGUGGGGAAUAUUGCACAAUGGGGGAAACCCUGAUGCAGCAACGCCGCGUGAACGAUGAAGGCCUUUGGGUCGUAAAGUUCUGUUCUAGGUGAUGAAAACUGACAGUAACCUAGGAGAAAGCCCCGGCUAACUCCGUGCCAGCAGCCGCGGUAAUACGGAGGGGGCAAGCGUUAUCCGGAAUUAUUGGGCGUAAAGGGUACGUAGGUGGCCUUUUAAGCGUAGGGUAUAAGGCAAUGGCUCAACCAUUGUUCGCCCUAUGAACUGGAAGGCUUGAGUGCAGGAGAGGAAAGCGGAAUUCCUAGUGUAGCGGUGGAAUGCAUAGAUAUUAGGAGGAACAGCAGCGGCGAAGGCGGCUUUCUGGACUGCAACUGACACUGAGGUACGAAAGCGUGGGGAGCAAACAGG
rnacentral:rRNA from 1 species